rnacentral:rRNA from 1 species
GAUGAACGCUGGCGGCGUGCCUAAUACAUGCAAGUCGAGCGAAUGGAUUAAGAGCUUGCUCUUAUGAAGUUAGCGGCGGACGGGUGAGUAACACGUGGGUAACCUGCCCAUAAGACUGGGAUAACUCCGGGAAACCGGGGCUAAUACCGGAUACGACCUACGAAGGCAUCUUCUGUAGGUGGAAAGAAUUUCGGUUCGGGAUGGACACGCGGCCUAUCAGCUUGUUGGUGAGGUAAUGGCUCACCAAGGCGACGACGGGUAGCCGGCCUGAGAGGGUGACCGGCCACACUGGGACUGAGAUACGGCCCAGACUCCUACGGGAGGCAGCAGUGGGGAAUAUUGCACAAUGGGCGCAAGCCUGAUGCAGCGACGCCGCGUGAGGGAUGACGGCCUUCGGGUUGUAAACCUCUUUCAGCACCGACGAAGCGCAAGUGACGGUAGGUGCAGAAGAAGGACCGGCCAACUACGUGCCAGCAGCCGCCGUAA